rnacentral:rRNA from 1 species
UACGGAGGGAGCUAGCGUUGUUCGGAAUUACUGGGCGUAAAGCGCGCGUAGGCGGCUUUGUAAGUUAGAGGUGAAAGCCCGGGGCUCAACUCCGGAAUUGCCUUUAAGACUGCAUCGCUUGAAUCCGGGAGAGGUGAGUGGAAUUCCGAGUGUAGAGGUGAAAUUCGUAGAUAUUCGGAAGAACAACAGUGGCGAAGGCGGCUCACUGGACCGGUAUUGACGCUGAGGUGCGAAAGCGUGGGGAGCAAACAGG